ensembl:lncRNA
GAGACAAUGAGGAGGUUUCCCUUUCCUAUAUCUCCCCACCUUUUCCCUCUUGUUGAGGGGGCAGGAAUCUGGUUCUGUGCUUGGAGAAGCAGCAAACAGAGAGCUUGUUUCCUUGUAAAUGGCGGCAUGUUCAUGUCCAUGUGCUUCCAAGGAAGGGUGGAGAUUUCAGCAGGAAUGACGAUGUCUAUGAGGAGUUGCAGCAACAUGACAAAGAGGAUUCCCCUGACAAGUGGAGGACAGAGGAAGAAAUGGCAGCUGAAGCAGCAAUUUUGAAGAAGUAUUUUCAGGAAAAUUAGAGGUAACAAAGUGUAAAACAUCCUGUGCCAUAAGAAACUCUCCAGGAAGACGGGCCUUAUGCUCCAGUUCCAGGUGAUCCCGGAGCUGCAGCUGAACAACUUCAUGAUGGUCUACAAAUAUGGGAAUUUUUCGUGAACAAUUUUAUUGGAUGUUUGGAUAUCGCCAAGGUUGAAUUUCAGCUAAAACAACUAAGAGCACUGAGUUAAAAUACUGCUAACACGUAUCUUCCUAAUUGUGUAUUUGGGAAGGAAUCUUUUUAAGUUGUCCUUUGGCCUAAAUUGAAAUAAAGUGCUGGCAAAAUCAGGUAGCU